AUUGAACGCUGGCGGCAGGCCUAACACAUGCAAGUCGAACGAGUGGCGGACGGGUGAGUAAUGUCUGGGACACUGCCCGAUGGAGGGGGAUAACUACUGGAAACGGUAGCUAAUACCGCAUACCAUCGGAUGUUCCCAGAUGGGAUUGGCUUGUAGGUGAGGUAACGGCUCACCUAGGCGCAGAUCCCUAGCUGGUCUGAGAGGAUGACCAGAGACAAUGGAAAUGGGACACGGUCGAGACUCCUACGGGAGGCAGCAGCGGGGAAUAUUGAACAAUGGGCGGAAGCCUGAUGCAGCCAUGCGGAGUGUAUGAAGAAGGCCUUCGGGUUUUAAAGUACUUUCAGCGGGGAGGCGUUACCAGCAGAAGAAGCACCGGCUAACUCCGUGCCAGCAGCCGCGGUAAUAC
rnacentral:rRNA from 1 species